UUGGUGCCAUUAUACUCAACUCAACCAAAUAGUUCAAUAAAUAUGAAAAUAAAAUUAAAUAUUCCAAAAUUCUCAAAAAAAAAAAAACUAAAGCUAUAUUCAACAAUGAACUAUCACAAGGUUUUAACACUAAGAAUAGUAUGCAAAUAAGCCAAGAGUUCAAGAUAAAUGAGUAUCUAAGCAAAAUGAUGAACAAUCAACAAAAACCCCCAAAUUUC
rnacentral:lncRNA from 1 species